rnacentral:pre_miRNA from 1 species
CAGCAGCAAUUCAUGUUUUGAAGUAUUCUAAACUGUUCAAAACGUGAGGCGCUGCUAUA